rnacentral:rRNA from 1 species
AGUGAACGCUGGCGGUAGGCCUAACACAUGCAAGUCGAACGGCAGCACAGUAAGAGCUUGCUCUUACGGGUGGCGAGUGGCGGACGGGUGAGGAAUACAUCGGAAUCUACUUUUUCGUGGGGGAUAACGUAGGGAAACUUACGCUAAUACCGCAUACGACCUACGGGUGAAAGCAGGGGAUCUUCGGACCUUGCGCGAUUGAAUGAGCCGAUGUCGGAUUAGCUAGUUGGCGGGGUAAAGGCCCACCAAGGCGACGAUCCGUAGCUGGUCUGAGAGGAUGAUCGGCCACACUGGAAUUGAGAAACGUCCCAAACCCUUAGGGGAGGCAGAGGUGGGAAUAUUGGACAAUGGGCGCAAGCCUGAUCCAGCCAUACCGCGUGGGUGAAGAAGGCCUUCGGGUUGUAAAGCCCUUUUGUUGGGAAAGAAAAGCAGCAGGUUAAUACCCCGCUGUUCUGACGGUACCCAAAGAAUAAGCACCGGCUAACUUCGUG